rnacentral:rRNA from 1 species
UACGGGGGGGGCAAGCGUUGUUCGGAAUUACUGGGCGUAAAGGGCUCGUAGGCGGCCAACUAAGUCAGACGUGAAAUCCCUCAGCUUAACUGGGGAACUGCGUCUGAUACUGGAUGGCUUGGAUUCGGGAGAGGAAUGCGGAAUUCCAGGUGUAGCGGUGAAAUGCGCAGAUAUCAGGAGGAACACCGGUGGCGAAGGCGGGUCUCUGGGCAGUAACUGACGCUGAGGAGCGAAAGCGUGGGGAGCGAACAGG